UACCGUCUCACAAAACAGCUGACACGUAAUCUGUGUGAUGAUUUGAGGCCU
rnacentral:precursor_RNA from 1 species